UCCCGGCUGGCUCAGAUGGUAAAGAAUCUGCCUGCAAUGCGGGAGACCUGGGUUCGAUCCCUGGGUUGGGAA
rnacentral:tRNA from 1 species